rnacentral:rRNA from 1 species
UAAGCCUUCGAAAGGAUGGCUAAUACCUGGAUGCAGUGCAGACCCACAAGUGUCUGUAUGAAAGACUGCCUCUUCUUGAAAGCAGUUGUUUGAAAAUGAGUUUGCGUACCAUGAGCUUGUUGGUGGGGUAAUGGCCCAGCAAGGCUGUGAUGGUCAGCUGGUCUGAGAGGAUGAUCAGUCACACUGGAACUGGAACACGGUCCAGACUCCUACGGGAGGCAUCAGUGAGUGAAUUUUGCGCAAUGGGGGAAACCCUGACGCAGCAGCGCCGCGUGAGUGAAGAAGGCCCUUGGUUCGUAAAGCUCUGUCAACCGUGGAAGAAGUUACAUAGCAUUAACAAUGAUAUGUAUUGACGGUACCGGUGGAGGAAGCGCCGGCUAACUCCGUGCCAGCAGCCGCGGUAACACGGGGGGCGCAAGCGUCAUUCGGAAUUAUUGGGCGUAAAGGGCGCGUAGGCGGGCUUGUCGGUCAGAUGUGAAAGCCCGGGGCUCAAACCUGGAAGUGCAUUUGAAACAGCAAGACUUGAGUAACGGGAGAGGAAAGCGGAAUUCCUGGUGUAGAGGUGAAAUUCGUAGAUAUCAGGAGGAACACCGAUGACGAAGGCAGCUUUCUGGACCGAUACUGACGCUGAGGCGCGAAGGCAUGGGUACCGAACAGGAUUAGAUACCCUGGUAGUCCACGCAGUAAACGAUGUUCACUAGGUCUAACGGGUAUUAAAAUCUGCUGUGCCACAGUCAACGCAUUAAGUGAACCGCCUGGGAAGUACGCUCGCAAGACUGAUACUCAAAGGAAUUGACGGGGGCCCGCACAAGCGGUGGAGCAUGUGGUUUAAUUCGACGCAACGCGAAGAACCUUACCUGGGUCUGACAUCCUGUGAAUCUUCCAGAGAUGGAAGAGUGCCUUCGGGAGCACAGAGACAGGUACUGCAUGGCUGUCGUCAGCUCGUGUCGUGAGAUGUCUUGGUUAAGUCACGAGCAACGAGCGCAACCCUUGUCGUCAGCAGCCAGAGCGUAAUGCCGGGAAAUCCGGCGAGACUGCCCCGGUUAACGGGGAGGAAGGUGGGGAUGACGUCAAGUCCUCAUGGCC